AGAUAAGGAGCUUGCUCCUUUGACGUUAGCGGCGGACGGGUGAGUAACACGUGGGUAACCUACCUAUAAGACUGGGACAACUUCGGGAAACCGGAGCUAAUACCGGAUAAUAUGUUGAACCGCAUGGUUCAAUAGUGAAAGAUGGUUUUGCUAUCACUUAUAGAUGGACCCGCGCCGUAUUAGCUAGUUGGUGAGGUAACGGCUCACCAAGGCAACGAUACGUAGCCGACCUGAGAGGGUGAUCGGCCACACUGGAACUGAGACACGGUCCAGACUCCUACGGGAGGCAGCAGUAGGGAAUCUUCCGCAAUGGGCGAAAGCCUGACGGAGCAACGCCGCGUGAGUGAUGAAGGUCUUAGGAUCGUAAAACUCUGUUAUUAGGGAAGAACAAACGUGUAAGUAACUGUGCACGUCUUGACGGUACCUAAUCAGAAAGCCACGGCUAACUACGUGCCAGCAGCCGCGGUAAUACGUAGGUGGCAAGCGUUAUCCGGAAUUAUUGGGCGUAAAGCGCGCGUAGGCGGUUUUUUAAGUCUGAUGUGAAAGCCCACGGCUCAACCGUGGAGGGUCAUUGGAAACUGGAAAACUUGAGUGCAGAAGAGGAAAGUGGAAUUCCAUGUGUAGCGGUGAAAUGCGCAGAGAUAUGGAGGAACACCAGUGGCGAAGGCGACUUUCUGGUCUGUAACUGACGCUGAUGUGCGAAAGCGUGGGGAUCAAACAGGAUUAGAUACCCUGGUAGUCCACGCCGUAAACGAUGAGUGCUAAGUGUUAGGGGGUUUCCGCCCCUUAGUGCUGCAGCUAACGCAUUAAGCACUCCGCCUGGGGAGUACGACCGCA
rnacentral:rRNA from 1 species